rnacentral:rRNA from 1 species
CCUACGGGGGGCUGCAGUAGGGAAUCUUCCGCAAUGGACGAAAGUCUGACGGAGCAACGCCGCGUGAGUGAUGAAGGUUUUCGGAUCGUAAAGCUCUGUUGUUAGGGAAGAACAAGUGCCGUUCGAAUAGGGCGGUACCUUGACGGUACCUAACCAGAAAGCCACGGCUAACUACGUGCCAGCAGCCGCGGUAAUACGUAGGUGGCAAGCGUUGUCCGGAAUUAUUGGGCGUAAAGGGCUCGCAGGCGGUUUCUUAAGUCUGAUGUGAAAGCCCCCGGCUCAACCGGGGAGGGUCAUUGGAAACUGGGGAACUUGAGUGCAGAAGAGGAGAGUGGAAUUCCACGUGUAGCGGUGAAAUGCGUAGAGAUGUGGAGGAACACCAGUGGCGAAGGCGACUCUCUGGUCUGUAACUGACGCUGAGGAGCGAAAGCGUGGGGAGCGAACAGGAUUAGAUACCCGAGUAGUC